UGCAAUAUUGGCCUUUGUUCAGGGUUUACACA
rnacentral:piRNA from 1 species